AAUAGAUACCCUGGUAGUCCAUGCCGUAAACGUUGGGCACUAGGUGUGGGGCUCAUUCCACGAGUUCCGUGCCGCAGCAAACGCAUUAAGUGCCCCGCCUGGGGAGUACGGCCGCAAGGCUAAAACUCAAAGAAAUUGACGGGGGCCCGCACAAGCGGCGGAGCAUGCGGAUUAAUUCGAUGCAACGCGAAGAACCUUACCAAGGCUUGACAUACACCGGAAACUUCCAGAGAUGGUUGCCCCGCAAGGUCGGUGUACAGGUGGUGCAUGGUUGUCGUCAGCUCGUGUCGUGAGAUGUUGGGUUAAGUCCCGCAACGAGCGCAACCCUGUCCUAUGUUGCCAGCGGGUCAUGCCGGGGACUCAUAGGAGACUGCCGGGGUCAACUCGGAGGAAGGUGGGGAUGACGUCAAAUCAUCAUGCCCCUUAUGUCUUGGGCUUCACGCAUGCUACAAUGGCCGGUACAAAGGGCUGCGAUACCGCGAGGUGGAGCGAAUCCCGAAAAAGCCGGUCUCAGUUCGGAUUGGGGUCUGCAACUCCG
rnacentral:rRNA from 1 species